rnacentral:tRNA from 1 species
GCUCGGGUGGCGGAAUUGGUAUACGCAACAGGCUGAGGACCUGUGCCAUUUUAUGGCGUGCGGGUUCAAGUCCCGCCCCGAGCA